rnacentral:lncRNA from 1 species
GAAGAAUUGAGCCCUUGGCUGCCUGGCUGAGAAGAACAGCCCUUCAUGGACAACUGUCAUUUUUUGGAAUACCCUCUCCUCCUGCUGUAAGAGCCUUACACUCCUGCAAGAUGAAGCAUACCAAGCGUUUAUUGCUUUGCCAUGUUGCCAAGGUUGUAAAGUUAUUUUUUCAAAAUGUGGACAGUAAUUUCAUCUAUAAAUAA